GAACAGAUCAGGAAUGCAAGCCUUACAACUCCUGUAAAGUUAACCAGAGCCCCCAGUCGUUAUGUGGCAUCUUCCACUGACAGAUACAUUCCAGUGAUGGAGAUAAUGAAACAGCAACAGAUCUGCAAACCGAGGCAGAAAUGAUAAAUGACCUGUCCAAGGUCACAGAAGCUGAGAGGUCAGUGUCAAGAUAAGAAGUUGGAAGGAGGACUGCUAGCUGGAGACUUCUCAGACUGAUAAACACAACCUUCUGAAGCAUAGUGAAAGGUAGGGGUGUGUGCUUGUGGUAGUGAUCUGGACCAACACCUGCUCCCACUCAUCCUGGUGUAAAUCUGGAGUAACUCCAUUGGUUUGAACAGAUAUAAUGGAGAGCAGGAUGGGGCCCAUUGAGUCUGUAUCCUUUGCAAAAAAGACAAAACAGAAGCUUACAGUAAAAGCUUAUUAGCUCCGUAACAGUUCAGAUGCAAAACCUGUCUGAGUUCAGGGUCAUACAGUCUUCUCAAAGGCUGUCAUUCAGACAUUUUUCAAAACGAAUCUGUCUAAUCCACUCUAUCUAAUUUACCUAAUCCAACUAGCUACUUCCCUGAUGUUGUUUGAGCAUCACAUGCUCAGAUCCUUGUUAUGUCAGCCUCAUCUUAAAAUGUUCGAGUGCCCCAGGAAGGGGAGCAGGCAGGUAUAUUUUCUGUCUUCCUACCGCAGAGCAGCCAGCGUACGUGGACUAGCUACCCUUUGCAUUAGUGGCUUAGCUGAAC